rnacentral:rRNA from 1 species
GUACACUCCUACGGGAGGCAGCAGUGGGGAAUAUUGGACAAUGGGCGCAAGCCUGAUCCAGCCAUGCCGCGUGAGUGAUGAAGGCCCUAGGGUUGUAAAGCUCUUUCACCGGUGAAGAUAAUGACGGUAACCGGAGAAGAAGCCCCGGCUAACUUCGUGCCAGCAGCCGCGGUAAUACGAAGGGGGCUAGCGUUGUUCGGAUUUACUGGGCGUAAAGCGCACGUAGGCGGACUAUUAAGUCAGGGGUGAAAUCCCGGGGCUCAACCCCGGAACUGCCUUUGAUACUGGUAGUCUUGAGUUCGAGAGAGGUGAGUGGAAUUCCGAGUGUAGAGGUGAAAUUCGUAGAUAUUCGGAGGAACACCAGUGGCGAAGGCGGCUCACUGGCUCGAUACUGACGCUGAGGUGCGAAAGCGUGGGGGGCAAACAGGAUUAGAAACCCUGGUAGUCCC